rnacentral:rRNA from 1 species
UACAGAGGUCCCGAGCGUUGUUCGGAUUCACUGGGCGUAAAGGGUGCGUAGGUGGCGUGGUAAGUUUGAUGUGAAAGCUCAGGGCUUAACCCUGAAAUGGCAUUGAAUACUACUGUGCUGGAGGUUUGGAGGGGGGACUGGAAUUCUUGGUGUAGCAGUGAAAUGCGUAGAUAUCAAGAGGAACACCAGUGGCGAGGGCGAGUCCCUGGACAACACCUGACACUGAGGCACGAAAGCUAGGGGAGCAAACAGG